AUUGAACGCUGGCGGCAGGCCUAACACAUGCAAGUCGAACGAGUGGCGGACGGGUGAGUACUGUCUGGGAAACUGCCUGAUGGAGGGGGAUAACUACUGGAAACGGUAGCUAAUACCGCAUACCAUCGGAUGUGCCCAGAUGGGAUUAGCUAGUAGGUGGGGUAAAGGCUCACUUAGGAGAAGAUCCCUAGCUGGUGGUAGAGGAUGACCAGCCACACUGGAACGGUGACACGGUCCAGACUCCUACGGGUGGCAGCAGUGGGUAAUAUUGCACAAUGGGCGCAAGCCUGAUGAAUCCAUGCCGCGUGUAUGAAGAAGGCCUUCGGGUUGUAAAGUACUUUCAGCGGGGAGGCGUUACCCGCAGAAGAAGCACCGGCUAACUCCGUGCCAGCAGCCGCGGUAAUUC
rnacentral:rRNA from 1 species